rnacentral:misc_RNA from 1 species
GAAACUCGAUAACUAGUGUGAAUUGCAGAAUUCCGUGAAUCAUCGAGUCUUUGAACGCACAUUGCGCCCCCUGGUAUUCCGGGGGGCAUGCCUGUCCGAGCGUCAUUGCUGCCCAUCAAGCACGGCUUGUGUGUUGGGUCGUCGUCCCCUCUCCGGGGGGGACGGGCCCCAAAGGCAGCGGCGGCACCGCGUCCGAUCCUCGAGCGUAUGGGGCUUUGUCACCCGCUCUGUAGGCCCGGCCGGCGCUUGCCGAACGCAAAUCAAUCUUUUUCCAGGUUGACCUCGGAUCAGGUAGGGAUACCCGCUGAACUUAAGC